rnacentral:rRNA from 1 species
GACGAACGCUGGCGGCGUGCUUAACACAUGCAAGUCGAACGAAGCUUGAUUACGGAUUCUUCGGAUGAAGUAUGAUAUGACUGAGUGGCGGACGGGUGAGUAACGCGUGAGUAACCUGCCCUUCAGAGGGGGAUAGCGUUUGGAAACGAACGGUAAUACCGCAUAAUGUAUUUUGACCGCAUGAUCGAAAUACCAAAGAUUUAUCGCUGAAGGAUGGACUCGCGUCUGAUUAGGUAGUUGGUGGGGUAACGGCCUACCAAGCCGACGAUCAGUAGCCGGACUGAGAGGUUGAUCGGCCACAUUGGGACUGAGACACGGCCCAGACUCCUACGGGAGGCAGCAGGGGGGAAUAUUGCACAAUGGGCGCAAGCCUGAUGCAGCAACGCCGCGUGAAGGAAGACGGUUUUCGGAUUGUAAACUUCUGUUCUUAGUGAAGAAUAAUGACGGUAGCUAAGGAGCAAGCCACGGCUAACUACGUG